rnacentral:rRNA from 1 species
CUGAAUAACUUAGUCGAUCGCAUGGUCUUUGCACCGGCGACGCAUCUUUCAAGUGUCUGCCUUAUCAACUUUCGAUGGUAGUUUAUGCGCCUACCAUGGUUGUAACGGGUAACGGAGAAUCAGGGUUUGAUUCCGGAGAGGGAGCCUGAGAAAUGGCUACCACAUCCAAGGAAGGCAGCAGGCACGCAAAUUACCCACUCCCGGCACGGGGAGGUAGUGACGAAAAAUAACGAGAUAGUCCUCGAUGAGGCCUAUCAUCGGAAUGGGUAAAAUUUAAAUCCUUUAACGAGGAUCUAUUGGAGGGCAAGUCUGGUGCCAGCAGCCGCGGUAAUUCCAGCUCCAAUAGCGUAUAUUAAAGUUGUUGCGGUUAAAAAG